rnacentral:rRNA from 1 species
ACGCCGCGUGUGGGAUGAAGCUCCUCGGAGUGUAAACCACUGUUGCCCGGGACGAAUAGCUCGAUUAAUCGAGCCUGACGGUACCGGGUGAGGAAGCACCGGCUAACUCCGUGCCAGCAGCCGCGGUAAUACGGGGGGUGCGAGCGUUGUCCGGAAUCACUGGGCGUAAAGGGCGCGUAGGUGGUUUGAUAAGGGUGUGGUGAAAGUCCGGGGCUCAACCCCGGAUCUGCCGUGCCGACUGUCAAACUCGAGGACUGUAGAGGCAGGCGGAAUUCCGGGUGUAGCGGUGGAAUGCGUAGAGAUCCGGAGGAAGACCGGUGGCGAAGGCGGCCUGCUGGGCAGUUUCUGACACUGAUGCGCGACAGCGUGGGGAGCAAACAGGAUUAGAUACCCUGGU